AUUGAACGCUGGCGGCAUGCCUUGCACAUGCAAGUCGAACGGCAGCACGGGUGCUUGCACCUGGUGGCGAGUGGCGAACGGGUGAGUAAUACAUCGGAACAUGUCCUGUAGUGGGGGAUAGCCCGGCGAAAGCCGGAUUAAUACCGCAUACGAUCUACGGAUGAAAGCGGGGGACCUUCGGGCCUCGCGCUAUAGGGUUGGCCGAUGGCUGAUUAGCUAGUUGGUGGGGUAAAGGCCUACCAAGGCGACGAUCAGUAGCUGGUCUGAGAGGACGACCAGCCACCCGGGAACUGAGACCGGCCCCAGCUCCCCCGGGGAGCGGGCAGGGGGAAUUUUUGGACAAGGGGCGAACCCCUGACCCAGCAUGCCCGGGUGUGAAAAAAAGCCCUUGGGUUUUUAAAGCAUUUUUGCCCGGAAAAAAAUCUUUGGCCCUAAUAGGGUCGGGGGAUCACGUUCCCGAAAAAAAAACCCCCGCCUACCUACGUC
rnacentral:rRNA from 1 species